GACGAACGCUGGCGGCGUGCUUAACACAUGCAAGUCGAGCGGUAAGGCCCUUUCGGGGGUACACGAGCGGCGAACGGGUGAGUAACACGUGGGUGACCUGCCCUCAGCUCUGGGAUAAAGCCGUGGGAAACGUGGGUCUAAUACUGGAUAUGACUCCACGGUGCAUGUCGUGGGGUGAAAGCCUUGUGCGGCUGAGGAUGGGCCCGCGGCCUAUCAGCUUGUU
rnacentral:rRNA from 1 species